rnacentral:rRNA from 1 species
ACGCUCGACACCUACGGGGGGCAGCAGUGGGGAAUAUUGCACAAUGGGGGAAACCCUGAUGCAGCAACGCCGCGUGAAGGAAGACGGUUUUCGGAUUGUAAACUUCUGUUCUUAGUGAAGAUAGUGACGGUAGCUAAGGAGCAAGCCACGGCUAACUACGUGCCAGCAGUCGCGGUAAUCUGAGCGGGCUGGCAAGGC